rnacentral:rRNA from 1 species
GACGAAGGAUGCAAGCGUUAUCCGGAUUCAUUGGGGUUAAAGGGCGCGUAGGUGGCCUUAUAAGUCAGUGGUGAAAUCUCGCAGCUUAACUGCGAAAUUGCCAUUGAUACUGUAGGGCUUGAGUACAGUUGCUGUGGGCGGAAUAUGACAUGUAGUGGUGAAAUACAUAGAGAUGUCAUAGAACACCGAUUGCGAAGGCAGCUCACAAAACUGUAACUGACACUGAGGCUCGAAAGUGCGGGGAUCAAACAGG